rnacentral:lncRNA from 1 species
UUGGAGUUGACCUCACUAAUCACCACAACGUCAUCGGAAUCAUCGUCAUCGGUUACCUUGUCGACGGAUUCCAAAAGCUCCGAUACCCAAUCAAAGUUGUCCUCCUCAUCCAGGUCGUUCCGCCCCAGUUCGUCGUCGGAGCUUAUGUAGAUUGGACCCAAAUUCAUGGCUGAUUGAAGUUCAAAGACUAGGGUUUGAAGAAAAGCUCGAACUUUUGAUUGAACUGGAGAAUUCGAGGCAUGGGUUGUGAAGAAAGAAACGAAUGAAUUAAACGGGAAGCCAAUGCCCGAACCACAUGAAAAUGGGCAAGCCUCGGAUUUCCGGGAAAAUUUCCGGACUUUCCCGGGAAAUUUUCUGUAAAGGGAAAGUUGAAAGAUUGAGGAAGGGCAUUUAGGGUUUUGAAUUGAGCGAGAAAGAUGAAAAUAUUAGGGUUUGAAAUAGAUCGUCGACUUUGGCGGUGAGAGAGAGAGAGAGAGAGAGAGAGAGAGAGAGAGGAGGAGGAGGAGUGAGGAAGUGACUCAACUCCUCAAAGUCGUUUUACCUAACCGACGACGAAUGUCAGGGAUAUUGACGGAAUUUUCAGUUUUGUGAGGGGCGUUCACUUUACGACUAAGAAGGGAUUGUCGUUCUUGCCGUUGGGUCAUGCUGGCCUUGUGGUCGUGGGUUGAGUAGACGAUCUCGGUGGGGUAAGUUAGAUUUUGGGUUGGGCUACAUCAAGAAUUUGUUGAGAGUUUCAACGCGGAGAGAAUCGACAUUUUAUGUGUUUAUAAGAAGUCCGCUAUUUACAAGUUAUUAUAUUGUGAAUUGAUUUUAUGAUAAAAUUUUAACUUUUUUCUUAGUAACAAAGCAGAUUCGACAUUAUGCUUCAAAUCAUCCGAUUUAUGUUAAGACUUGAGAUCAACCCCUUCAAAAUAUGUAGGUGUAUGAUGGAGUUCUACGUGUGCUGCAUCACCAAUUGUUGCUAAUUUGUGAAUUAGGGCGAAUAAUUUUUCUUCAUGACUGUUUCAUCUUCUACAUUUAACUUGGACAGUCGUUAAAAAUGAUCUUGUUAGAAACAAUUCUCUCAAACAAACGCAACCUUAAUUUCUGAUUUAUGUGGCCUUUGGUCUGGUAAUUCAUGUGACACUUUUUCAAACCAAAGAAAGGAAGGAAUUAACAACUGGCCAUGUGGUCCUAGUAUCAUAAAAUUGUCUAAGACAUAUAUGGAUGUAUGAGGGCGAAUCUAUAGCACCAUUUCAUUACACAAAUUUUUGUAGGACGUACUCCGUAAUGUACUUUAAUGAUCCGAACUAUCUAUAUUUUAGAUCAUCAUUGCAAAAAAUUAGACAAAUCCAAAACCAUUAAGACAUUCAUUUGUAGUGAAAAAAAUAGAUGAAGAUGGUUCUACAAAGAAACCAUAAACCCUUAAUCCAACGGCCGUAUGGUUUCAAAUUUGAGUGAUUUUUUGUAGACAUGAUGUUUGAGAGAAGAUCUAAAAGAUAAACGGUUCGAAUCAUUGAAAUACAUCAUGGAUCCGUUCCCAUAGUUAUAUACACACGUAUACAUAGCAAUGCUGAAUGUGAAUUGAUUGGUCCAUAUAGCAUCCCAUGUAGUACAUUGCUAUUUAUAUAUAGCAAUGUUGGAGGUGGAUUGAUGGGUAAGUGAAAGCAACCAGACCAUCCGACAUAUAUAUUUGUUAGGUGGGUUUUGAUGAACUCUAUUCAUUUCGAAUACCAACAUUCAUCAUCUCUUCAAUUUUUUACUACUUAUUGAUGAUUUCAGAUGCGUACUAGUAUUUAAAUCCGUGCAAUACUGCAGGUUAUAAAACUAUGUUAAACAUUUGAAAUAUAUUAAAAUUUAUUUACAUUCAUGUUAGAAUCUAAAAAUGAUUCGAAGUGUAUUUGGAGAUCUCGAAAUAUAAAUGUCUUGAACAAAUGUAGAAUAUCUUAAAUGCAUUUAGACACACAUAUCAUUUGAACAAAAGGGUCAUGGUUCUUGGUAUGCUACAACCAAAAUAAUGUAAAGUAGCUAGGUACAAAUAUCAAUCAUAUUUUUCCAUCUACAUUACAUUAUGAGCUGCUUAUUAUCCAAAAUACAAUAGAUUGGUUGACCAAUUAACUUUUCAAAAAUUGAUCGGAGUUCGAAAGUAUGUGAUCUCACAUCCAUGGUUGCUCAUCCCUAUACAUGUAGCAAAAUAGCUAGCAAUUACAUCAUCGCAAGUCCUCACAUCAUCUUUCAUUGCAUCCCUGAAAAGCAAAGUGAUUCAAAAAUGUAUUUGCCCUUAAGUUUAGGGUAUUUACCAUAUGUUUCCUUCAAUCAAUUGAAGAAAUCUGACAUUUUAGUAGAUGGGGUUUGUUCAAAAGAAUAAAAAUUCUUCCUCAGUUUUUCAAAUUAGACACUAAAUUCUUCAAGAAGCAUAAUAAGAUAGUGUCCUCGUAUAUAUUGAUUGUUUAUUGAUUACGUAAUACUUAUAUAUUGACUAUUUAUGAUUCAAUGUUUAGUUCUCCACAACACAUAGUUAAUAUAUGGUAAUUACUUUGAGAUCAAUGAACCAUCAAUAUGAGAAAAUUCUGUACAAAGAUCUAUAUAUCAAUUGCAAAAGCAUGCUAAGCAUAAUUUUUGUUGUGCGUUUCAAUUUAAAUUCACAUCACCUAUGUACAUUUCAGUUCAUUACGCAAUUUGCCAAUCUCAAUUUCAAUUCACAUAUAUUAAAUUAGUUCACAUUCAUAUACACAUUACAUGUCACACACAUUUGACAUUUCAGUUAAUAUUCACAUAAGUCACAUCCACACAUAAAAUAUAUAAUUACCUCAGGCAAGCAGUUCACCCUCCACAUAAUAUGCCCUUAAUUCGUCUGCUUUUCUUUCACAAUUAUUGCAGCGCUUCUAAGAAGAAACAUACCAACAUUCAUUUCGAAUACCAACAUUCAUCAUCUCUUCAAUUUUUUAGGUGGGGUAGCUCCAACUAAGGAAAAGAGAAGAAAUAAAUGACAGAUUUAUGUUAUCCAUACUGCAAAAAAAAAAAAUUGAUUGAAUCAUAUUGAAUCUGACCAAUUUUGAAUAAAACUAAACGAAAAAAAAGUAAUCACAAUUAAGUUAAACUCUUCUUCUCAUAUGGAGUAAAUCUUGUCCGCUGUUUUGCUUCUGCGUACAACGCACUGUUUACUGUUUCGACACAAAAAAAACAUAUUUAAAAUUCUCAACAUCAUUACAAAAACUAUACGCGCAAUAUUAUUUACAAGCAAAGGAUAAAUAUUUACCAACAAAACAAUGGAUUGUAAUAAAUUAUCUUCAACCAAGUAGUCAUGAAUCUUUACUUAUUAAACAACACCAAAUUAAAAAAAAUUAAGGAAAUUCAUACCAAAAACUUCAACUGUCACACAUAUAGCUAUAAGUUUUUUUUUAGUACAUUUAUAUUUUUACACUAAGGAAAUGGGGAGUUCGGCUACACAAUAGACAAUCUAAUUUGGUAUUGAAUUCGCCAUCCAUGGGAUUCGAACCUAAGACCUUUCACUUUCAAUUGAAGAGGAAUACCACUAAACAAUAGUACUGAGUGACAUAUAACUAUAAAUUUUAAAUAAAGUACUUUUUCAUCUUCUUAAUGAUAUUUUCAGUCAAUAUACCAUUUGUCCCCAAAAGACUUUUGUGUUAUAAACCUUGUUGUAAUUUAAUAUUCCACUAAAGAAAAAAUAUAUAACACACAAAUAAUUGGUUCAUGAAGACGAAAAAGAGAGAAGAUGAAAAUGAACCAAUUAAUUUAAGUAUUAGGUGUUACCUAAUUUACAAAUGCUACCUCUCUCAACCGAUGUCAAAAUGUUCCCAAUCAAGAUCAAUUCUGACAUAGUCAUAAUGUGAUCAAAUUACUUCUAAGAAGCAACAUACCUAAUAAGAUGUAAUAACUAUAAAACUGAUAGAAAAAUAAACCCAACUUCCAAUAUGUUGGCAGUAAAUUAAAUACCCAAAAAUUCUUUUUGACAUUGCAUUGUAAACCCCUUUGCAAACUAGAAAAGCAAUAACCAUAUAUAUUUCUAAAAAAAAAAAAUACUUUAUGCACACAAAUAAUCAGAUAAACAUAUUAUCCAUUGCACUUUAUGAAAACAAAUAUAUGCACUGGGCAAUUAUGUCUUGAAGGCCAGAAAUGCAAAAUACCGAUAGUAAAAACACUCAGAAAAAGUGAGAAAUCGAUAAUCCAUUCAGGAAAACAACAAAGAAAACGAUUUGGUUACCAGUGUCAAGCAGUCUCAUUUGCCUUGAAAUUGGGGGUAGCACCCGAGUUUCAAUUUUCAUGCCCUUAAAAUUCAAAAAGGCCAUGUUUAAAUCCGCAAAUAGACGCAUUGUAUAUAAGAAGAAUAUACUAAAUAUAAUGAGGUUUAGAAGCCCAACCAUGUGAGUAAAGUCCUCAUGCCAGGUUGCUUAUGGAUGACCCUCCUAUUCCUUGGAGCAGUCAGGAGACUUGGCUUCCUGCUUUCAAGUUUAGAAGGGAUGUAAAAGGUUUAGAGAAUAAGUGAAAAAUAACUUGCAUCGGUAUAACAUUAACAUUAUGUACACUUUUUAAGUGACAAUGACUUGGUUUCACAAUUCUAAUUUUUGAGUAUUUUGGUACACGAUUUUGCACAGUUCUAAAAUCUUGUAUUAUGAUUUGGAUUUCUGUUAUGCAUGCAUACACUACAAAAGUAAUACAGUAAUUUAAGGAAAGACACUUGCAGCCAUGUUUCUAAUUGAUGCAUCUCUUGUGUUUCAUUAAUUUUUUUCUUUCUUUCUAUAAUCAAGCUUACACACUUCAAAAACCAAAAAGAGAAUGUUGUAAAGGGAAAAUUAGAAAGUCAUAUUGAAAACCACAAUCUAGGCACAUUAAUAAUCUAACUAAUGAAUGUGAUUCGAGAAAUAAACCACUGUUUGAGUGCAAGCAAUGGGAUCCUAUCCUUGCAUUGCUGUUUACACAUAGCACUCUGCACAUAAAACUCGUAAAAAAAAAUUAAUACACAGUCCAUACGCAAAUCAACCAACAAAUAAAAAAAUCCUUCAAUCCCAACAGAUUUCAAACACAUGUUGAUCUCUUCAAAACCCAUAAUACAAAAACAUAGAUUUCAACAUGACCCUCAGGCAAAAGACCAAAGCUAACGGCUAGGGUGGAGCAAAAAAUAAUCACAAGGCGACACGUGGAUUUUUUGUAAAAAGGAUAAAGUUAUCCCUGAGACACACCGAUUGUCCUACGCGCGAGCAGUGAAUAAUCAUUCUUUAAUCAAGCCAAGAGUGUCCAAAAAAGGUAACCAAUUCCAAAUUAUCUCAUCCAUCCUCAUCUUAGGUAAUUACUUCAUAACCUACAAAUUAUUCCAUAUAAAUGGAGAUUAAUUGGCUAAUUAAUCCAUUAAUCACCAAUUGAAUCACCCAUUUUCACACAAAAAACCUCUAAGGGCCGGCCACCUCCAUUCUCUAUAUAUAUGACCCUAUUUUUUCUAAAAAAGAAGUUCCACACUCUUGCAAAACUCCAAAAAACUCUCCAAAUAUUUUUCUCUCUAAAUUCUAACUUUGGCAUCAAAUGUUCUUUGGCCAAAGCCCCCCCCCCCCCCCAAUUCAUCAUGGGCGUGUGAGGCUAUUGGCUUUGACCUAAGGUGUUAAUUGUUUUGUAGGUGCAAUUUUGUCCAAGAAGAAGGCGGAAAUUUGCAUCCACAAAUUGGUGCUUUCAUUGAGAGCUAAGUCCCACACUCGUAGAAGACUCUCGCAUCCAAGGUUUUCUAUUUUCUUGUCCAUUUGUAGAUUUUUCGUACGUUCUUAUUAUUAGAAUUUUUUAUUUGCAAAAAUUCUUUGAUAAAACGUAAAAGAGAAGUACAAUGGCUAGAAAUUUAGAAAAUUCAACAAAUGAAAAUUUUAACAUUCAAGAGAUGGGACCACGAUGAUCCAUGAGGCUAAAUGUGACAAUAGGUGGAGUGGCACCACCACCACGAGUUUCCACCACGGUGGUUCCCGUGGUGGCUACCAUGGUAGCCACCCACGGUCAGGUCCAUCGUGUCACCACCUCGGCCCAAGCCGUGCCAUCCAAGGUGACUCACGACACUAAGGCCACGGCCCAAGCCAUGUCACUCCAUGCCCAACGUGUUACCAAGUCGAGCCCAAGCCUCGCACAUGAGUGCAUCAUACGCCGAACAGCCCACUCCCGUGGCCCAUCCUGCUCCUGCCGAGCAGCCUAAUCUCGUGGCUCAGCUAGAUCUCGUGGCAUUCCAAGCAACCCAGAUCGGCCCAAGACUAUCUCAACCAUUCGGACCAAUCAUCGAGCCGGGGGUAUUUUCACCUGGUUUCUUCGUGGAUUUGACAUUUCCUAAUUUAAAUCUCGCGCCCGGAGCUUACCACACUUCCACUGCUCAAGGAGACAUAUUCUUUCCAAGCUCUUCUAAUCCAAAUGACGAACAACACUUGUCUCGACAAGUCAUAGAGUUAACGAGUGCCCUUGUACAACAGACAACCUUGGUGAAUCAACUCUUGCAACACAACGGGGUCUAACGUGCCCCAGACGAAGUGUCUCGAAGAAGGACAAGGACAGAUGAACCUUUCCACCAGCGUCCCGGCAAGCAGCCACUUGACCAGUCAUGAACUGAGCGUUCUAACAGAGUACACUCCCGACUGGACCCCCAAGAUAGCGUAUACUCAUGUCUUAACGCGUGGAGGAGUGUGCAUUCACAGUUAGUCCCACGGACAAACAUACACUCGCGGUUGGGGCCACACUCCGAUAAUCAGCAUGAGCAACCUUCUAGGUGAAAUGUUCAUUCGCGACAAGGCCCGCAAGGAGCAUCCUGCACCUCACAUCAGAGUAGGCAGCACAGCGGACGGAGAUAAGCAAUCAUUUAAUCCGGCUCAAGUUCAACCAACAACCUGCGAGUUACUCGCUCUCCUGCUAGAAACAUACCACACCGACCGCAUCCAUGACAUAGACGAGCCGAACACAUGGAAAAACAGCCUAGAUCAGCAGGUCAUGACCAGGGGCAGCUGAGGGCUCUGCCACUCCAACAAAGGCAAAUUCAGGAAGAAGUAGAAAUACUCAUGACCGAGCGAUUGCACAAUUUCCCGCACAAUGAAGCGAUUGACAAAGCGCUUCGAUGAGACAUGACCAACAUAAGCAAGUCAUCUUUCAAUGACAAGAUCAAGUAAACAUGACUACCUCAUAUAGAUUGCCAUAUAUAAAGACUUCUUAUGUUCUGACAAACACAACAGCUCAGCCUAAUGGCACGUCAGGGGUAGACGAGUACCAGAAUGACACACCAGCUCGACUACCAAGAACCGAGGGCAGACUUUAUUCUCAACACUCCAAAUAAUUCCUCCUGCUGCGCACAACCUGGCCCAAGCUAGCCCCAUCUCUGAUUUCACAACCACGCAUGCCUGUUCCACGGUUCUUGGCAGCCAUUGAUCUAUCACCAUGGCUCAUAAAUGUGCCAAUCUUGCAUUAUGGCUCCCAACCAUGCCGAUCUUGCCAUGUGGCUCAUGCCAACCAUGCCUUAAAAAGGCACACGACAAAACACCUAAUGAUGGCACAAUAAUUAUGAAAGUAGCUCAUUGCGCUUACACCUUUACGCAAGGUCCACAAGCAGUUUGAAGUCUUAAGCAGAUCGCUAAACAUGACCUCGCAGGCUAAGGAUUAUUUCGGUUAUCCCAGCAGUCCAGUUUUCCUCAGCUGCACUCAUGACAACGACUUCCAUGCUCUCCAGUGCGAGAGGGUAAACCAUUUCCCCGACACCCAUAUGGGUUUGCUCUCCAGUGCGAGAGGAUAAACUAAUUGCUCUGUGCGAUAGGGUAAACCAAUUCCCCGACACCUUUAUGGGUCUGCUCUCCAGUGUGAGAGGAUAAACUAAUUGCUCUCCAGUGUGAGAGGGUAAACCAAUUCCCCGACAUCCAAAAGGGUCUGCUCUCCAAUGCGAGAGGAUAAACUAAUUGCUCUCCAGUGCGAGAGGGUAAACCAAUUCCCCGACACCCAAAUGGGUCUGCUCUCCAGUACGAGAAGAUAUAUUAAUUGUUCUCCAGUGCGAGAAGGUAAACCAAUUCCCAGACACCUAUAUGGGUUUUCUCUCCAGUGCGAGAGGAUAAACUAAUUGCUCUCCAGUGCGAGAAGGUAAACCAAUUCCCCGACACCCAUAUGGGUUUGCUUUUCAAUGCGAGAGGGUAAACUAAUUGCUCUCCAGUACAAGAGGGUAAAACUAAUUGCUCUCCAUUGCGAGAGGGUAAACUAAAUCCCUGACACCCAUCUGGGUAAGCUCUCCAGUGUGAGAAGGCCACAUAGUUCAAAAGAUCGAAUGCUUGAAGAUCAACUAAGCAACAAAUGGUUAGGGGGCAGCAGCCACUUUUACACUUAACAUGUCUCUCAUCCGACACUUCAUCUUCAGCAACUCUGAUCUUGGCAACUUCAUCGUUGACUGCUCCAUCUAUGGUAGUUGAAAAAUCAAACUCAAGCAGUUUCCUCAUUUUUAGCAGACAGCCCAGACGUGGUAGCCUAAACAAUUGCCUAUUCCACGCCACUUCCUUAGCCUAUGCUGAACCAAUCAUUAACUUCAAUCAAGCCGAGCUACUCAAGCAAUGGCCCCUGCCACAUCACAUCCUUGGUCCAUGCCAAGCCGACUCUUGGCCCCUACCAGCCGACGUGCCGCACCACCCCGACGACUGCCCCGUGGCAGCACUACCCAAGAAGAAGACAAGAAGAAAUUAAGUUUUCAUUACAUUGGUGCGGCACGGAGAAGACAAAGAAAGCAACAAAAAACGGUCAUUUGCACGAGCAAGAUGUAGAAGAUUGCUAGAUGAGGGGGAACAAAUAUCCUCUAAGCUCUCUCUUUCUUGUAGGGUAGAAUAAAUCACUCUCCAAAGUUGAUUUAAUAACCCACUUAAGGUGGACUUAAAUAGGCUUUGAGAGAAAUUUAUUUCCUUUUCCUAGAAGGAUCUAAUUUCAUAUUAAAGAGGGAAUCUACAUCAAAACUGGAAGCAGUCAUAAGUUUCCAAGAGCAAGAAGAUCUCUACACCUGCUGCCCUUUCCUACAAGCAGCCCAGUAGGUGUGGGGGCAUUUGUGGAGAAAAAAAUAAUCACAAGGCGACACGUGGAUUUUUGGUAAAAAGGACAAAGUUACCCCUGAGACACAUCGGUUCUCCUACGCGCGAGCAGUGGACAAUCAUUCUUUAAUCAAGCAAGAAUGUCCAAAAAAGGUAACCAAUUCCAAAUUAUCUCAUCCAUCCUCAUCUUAGGUAAUUACUUCAUAACCUACAAAUUAUUCCAUAUAAAUGGAGAUCAAUUGGCUAAUUAAUCCAUUAAUCACCAAUUUUCACACAAAAACCCUCUAAGGGCCGGCCACCUCCAUUCCCUAUAUAUAUGACCCUAUUUUUUCUAAAAAAAAAGAAGUUUCACACUCUUGCAAAACUCCAAAAAACUCUCCAAAUACUUUUCUCUCUAAAUUCUAACUUUGGCAUCGGAGGUUCUUCGGCCAAAGCCCCCCCCCAAUUCAUCGUGGGCACGUGAGGCUAUUGGCCUUGACCUAAAGUGUUAAUUGUUUUGUAGGUGCAAUUUUGUCCAAGAAGAAGAAGGCAGAAAUUUGCAUCCACAACUAGCAUGUUAGAUUCUCGGUGCUACACAAAUGGAGAUAUUAAACUAAAACGUAUAUGCUGCUUUAUUCAUGUGACUUUUACUUUACUAAGGGUGUUGUUGGUUUACUCCAGUGAUAAUGGCCAACUAUGGGCAUGGUAGAGGUCUACGACUAAAAAACCUCAACCAUAAACGUAAACAAAAUUCAUCCCCCAAUUUCUUCCAUGUUCUCUUUCCCUUUUCCCCUUUAUUCUUUUUUUUUUCUUCCUCUUCUUCCAUUUGCACUAGGGUCAGCCCCGAGAAUUUAGGGCCCUAGGCAAGCUUUUUAAAUGGGGCCUUAGAGUUCUUUGACUCCCGACCCUUUGUACAUUGACAUGUGAAAAAAACGUAAAAAAAAAUUCACUAAAUACAUGCAAAGUCUAUUUCUACAUCAAAUAUCAUUAAAAAUUAAUAUCAAAAGAAGAAAUAUAUACAAACAUUACUCAAAUAUUAGUGUAAACGUAUGUGCUGCUUUAUUCAUGUGACAUUUACUUUACUCAGGGUGUUGUUGGUUUACUCCAGUGAUAAUGGCCAACUAUGGGCAUGGUAGAGGUCUACCACUAAAAAACCUCAACCACAAAUGUAAACCAAAUUCAUCCCCUAAUUUCUUCCAUGUUCUCUCUCCCUUUUCCCCUUAUUCUUUUUUCUUUCUUCCUCUUCUUCCAUUUGCACUAGGGUCGGCCCUGAGAAUUUAAGGCCCUAGGCGAGCUUUUGAAACGGGGCCCUAGAGUUCUUUGACUCCCAACCAUUUGUACAUUGACAUGUGUAAAAAAACGUAACAAAAAUUCACUAAAUACAUGAAAAGUCUAUUUUUACAUCAAACAUCAUUAAAAAUUAAUAUCAAAAGAAGAAAGAUAUACAAACAUUACUCAAAUAUUAGUGUAAACAUAUCUGCUACUGUAUUCAUGUGACUUUUACUUUACUCAGGGUGUUGUUGGUUUACUCUAGUGAUAAUGGCCAACUAUGGGCAUAAUAGAGGUCUACCACUAAAAAACCUCAACCACAAACGUAAACCAAAUUCAUCCCUCAAUUUCUUCCAAGUUCUCUCUCCCUUUUCCCUUAUUCUUUUUUUUUUAUUCCUCUUCUUCCAUUUGCACUAGGGUCAGCCCUGAGAAUUUAGGGCCCUAGGCGAGCUUUCGAAAUGGGGCCCUAGAGUUCUUUGACUCCCGACCCUUUGUACAUUAACAUGUGUAAAAAAACGUAAAAAAAAAAAUUCACUAAAUACAUGAAAAGUCUAUUUCUACAUCAAAUAUCAUUAAAAAUUAGGGUAAAAGACUUUUUACUUCCCUCAUGUUUCAUGGUUUUCAACAUUUAGUACAUCAAGUUUUUUUCGUCUCAGAGUCAUACCUAAAGUGUAAAUUUUGGGAUACAUCCGCUAGUCAAACUGUUAAAUUUGCCGUUAAUUGUGACGUGACGCCCAUGUGGACAAUGACUGGACGCCACGUGUCAGCCACGUUUUUUUUUCCUUUUCUUCUUCUUCUUCUUUUUCUUCUUCUUCUUCUUCUUCUUCUUCUUUUUCUUCUUCUUCUUCUUCUUCCUCCGACUGCAACUUUUUUUUUCUUCCUCUUUCUCCUUCUUCCUUCCUCCUUCCUUCCCCUUCUUCUCCUUCUUCCUUCUUCUUCAUUCUCCCUUCUUCCUUCUCAUUCUCCUUCUUCUUCCUCCGAAUCUGGGGAAGUUUUUUUUUUCUUCCUUCUCCUUCCUCCUUCUUCUUUCUUCCUUCUUCUUCCUCCGAAUCUGCCCAGAUUCGGUUUUUUUUUUUUCUUUUUUUUCCUCCUUCUUCCUCCUUCUUCCUUCCCCUUCUCCUUCUUCUUCUUCUUCCUUCUUCCUUCCUCUUCUUCUUCUUCUUUUUCUUCUUCCUCCGAAUCUGCCCAGAUUCGGCUUUUUUUUUUCUUCUUUUUUCUUCUUUCUUCUUCUUCCUCCGACUGCAACUUUUUUUCUUCUUCUUUCUCCUUCUUCCUCCUUCUUCCUUCUUUUUCUCCUUCUUCCUCCUUCUUCCUUCUUUUUCUCCUUCUUCCUUCCUCCUUCUUCCUUCCCAUUCUUCUCCUUCUUCCUUCUUCCUUCUUCUUCAUCUUCCUCAAAAAAAAAAAAAAAAACCUUCAUCUUCCCCAGAUUCGGAGGAAGAAGAAGGAAGAAGGAGGAAGUUCUUCUUCAUCUUCCUCAAAAAAAAAAAAAAAAAAAAAACCUUCAUCUUCCCCAGAUUCGGAGGAAGAAGAAGGAAGAAGGAGAAGAAUGGGAAGGAAGAAGGAGGAAGGGGGAAGGAAGAAGGAGAAGAAGAAGGAAGAAGGAAAAAAAAAACCGAAUCUGGGCAGAUUUGGAGGAAGAAGAAGAAAAAGAGGAAGGAAGAAGGAGGAAGGAGAAGGAAGGAGGAAGGAGGAAGGAGGAGGAAGAAGGAAAAAAAAAAAGAAACUUCCCCAGAUUCGAAGGAAGAAGAAGGAGAAGGAGAAGGGAGAAGGAAGAAGAAGGAAGAAUGAGAAGAAGGGGAAGGAAGAAGGAGGAAGGAAGAAGGAGAAGGGAGAAGGAAGAAGAAUGAAGAAGGAAGAAGGAGGGGAAGGAAGAAGGAGGAAGGAAGAAGGAGGAGGAAGAAGGAAAAAAAAAGUUGCAGUCGGAGGAAGAAGAAGAAAGAAGAAAGACAAAAAAAAAGAAAAAAAAACGUGGUUGACACGUGGCACCUAGUCAUUGUCCACAUGGGCGCCACGUCACAAUUAACGGCACAUUUAACAGUUUGACUAACGGAUGUAUGAGACUGUCCCAAAAUUUACACUUUAGGUAUGACUCUGAGACGAAAAAAACUUGAUGUACUAAAUGUUGAAAACCACGAAACAUGAGGGUAGUAAACAGUUUUUUACCCUAAAAAUUAACAUCAAAAGAAGAAAGAUAUACAAACAUUACUCAAAUAUUAAUGUAUUACCUGUCUCGCAUUUUUAGAUGCAAAUGCAUUUUAUUAAGUUUACAUAAUCUAAUUUUCAACCAAUUCAAACCGAAAGAGAAGUCCCUACCCAGUAUGCCAAAUUCCAAUCAUUUUUCUAUUGUUACAAUGUUACUUAUUACAUUCAAUAAAUGAAUGAAUGGUUGGAUUACAGAGACAACAUCUUACAACUAGGAAAAAUAAUAGAGUGAAGAUGAUAGUAAUUUUCAUAUACGCACCUAGGCGGCCGAAACGGAUUUGAAUAAUUUAUUAUAUAUUAUAUAAACUAAUUAAUUUGAACAUUUAAUAACAUCUUUUUUCAAAAAGGUAAGAGUUUUAGCCCUUUAGGUACAUAAUAAUGAUAUAAGUGGUGUGACCUUUAGGUACAUAAUAAUGAUAUAAGUGGUGUGAUCUUAAAAUAGGGUAAUAAAACCCCAUAAAAUAAACAUAAAGGUGAUAUUUAAGAGAGAAGUAAAAUAGUAAAAAUGUAACAUCCCACAUCGACCAAUGGAGAGGGGGUUAUGUGCCUUAUAUGUACAUGCCCACCUCCAUAUAGCAUCAGGCUUUUUGGGAACUCACUAGCUUCGGAUUCCAUCGGAAUUUCGAAGUUAAGCGAGUUUGGGCUAGAGCAAUCCUAGGAUGGGUGACCCACUGGGAAGUUUUCGUGUGAGUUCCCAGAAACAAAACCGUGAGGGUGUGGUCGGGGUCCAAAGUGGAUAAUAUCGUGCUAUGGCGAAGUCAAGACUGGGAUGUGACAUAAAAUAAGAUGGUGGGGACUAUUUAAAGGGGAGAAGACGUGCAGAUGUAUAUAAAAAAAAAGAUGGUGGGACCAACUUAAGUAAAAUCGUGCAAUUAAAAUGAUGUUGGGAAUAGGGUUGUCUUCUUCCUCACGCGAGGCCGACCCUGCAACAAAAGAUUUCCAAAUUCCGGCUUUUACAUAUAAGCAUGCAUAGCUCCCGCCCAUCCUUGUCCAGACCUGUCUAACUCUGCCUAAAAAUUGGGGGGCCUUCCAAAAUGGGGGCCCUAGGCGGGCGCCUAUUUGGCUACCCUUAGGGCCAGCUCUUCGCACUCCCCCAUUUUCCCCAAAUUCAUCAUUUUUUCCUCCCUUUUUCCACCCACUCCUCUCGAGGAUAAUCGUUCACUCUUCUUUUAUUUAUUAAUUAUUUCUUUUAUCUUUUAGUUAUUUCACUCAUUGAAAUCAUAAGAUGACAUUUUUUCAGGCACCAAAAAAAUCCACAAACCCAAAAUCACAAAAAUAUCUAAUCUAAAACAUCGGACCACAUAUUGUCACGUACAAAAGGAUGAAUAACAAAUCCAAAAGAAAAAAAAUUUAUAAACAAACUAAAACAUCAAAUCGGUGAAGAUUGUACCUUGAAAAAGGUAGACGCACAAAGCUCUUCAAGACUAUUCCCAAUUCUGAUGUCGGAGACUAAAAUAGAGUCUGAUUGUAAAGGGUCACUGGCAUAAAAGUUAUUCGAAUUAGAACAUAAUUUAGGUAUAUUGUUUAUCGUAAAAAAGAAAGACCAACAUUAAUUUUAGGUAUAUUGUGGAGAAAUACUAAAUAUUUAUCGAGCAUGACAAAUAACAGUUGUACAAAUACUUUUGAUGUACCAAAAAAAUUUGGACUUUAAAUUUUAUAUUUGAGUUUGAAUAUGAGUCAAAAUUUAUUUAUGAGUUUUCAACUAAAGUGAGAUCCGAAUUUAGGUUUGCAUACGAGAUUUAAUUCUAAAGUGGAGCUCAUGCAACAAAGAAAAAUGUUAUUCAACCAAAACCAAGAAAAAUAAGAUUUAAGUUUUGGCUCCAAGUCUACAACCAUCUCCAUGUUGGAUAUAAGUCCCACAUCGGGAAUUGAGAAAAUAAAAUACAAUAUAUAAGCAUAUAAUUCUAGCCAUAAUAACAUCAAAGGCCUUUUGUGAUAGAACUCAACACCUAACAAUAGGUUGUUAAGUUGGGAGAAUAUAGGUGUGGUUAGGAGUGGACCAAUGGUCCAUCUCUCCAAAGACCUAACAUGGAAGAACGGGUUUGAUUAUGGGUCAUGUGGGUCCGUGUUGUGCUCAAGUUACCGAGUUCAAUGUAACAUCAUGCUUUCACGCCUAAUCUCCGAUGUGAGAUUGGUUGCACAUGUGGCUCACUAUAUGGUAGCCAUAUGAUGGUCUCCCAUGAACGGGCGUGUUAAAUAUGAGGCCACAUUGGGAAAUUUAGAAAAUAAAAUAAAAUAUAUGUGUAUAGUUCCACUCCUAAUACACUAAGGUAUUUUGUGAUAAACUAAACACCUAACAAUAUGUGGUUAACUUGGAACAAUAUCAAUGUGAUUAAGAGUGAGACAAUAACGUCUCUCUAAAUAUCUCACACUGCAUUUCCGAAGUCUUCUUCUCCAACGCAUAGAUUCGAACCAUAAAACUCAAAAUAAGUUUAAAGACUUGUGUUUGUGCAUUGAAAGAAAAUCAGAAAAACUCAAACCUACCACUAUUUUUUUACUCAAAUAUUAGAAUAUAUGUCUAGUAUUAGUAAUAUAUAGUUUUGUAUCAGAGACGACCUAAUAAAUAGAUGACAUGAAUGGUAUGUGGCCUAUUUUUCAAAUGACGUAGAAACUGCAUUUGCACCACAUAAACAAAAAAUAAUCGUCAUUAAGUUUUGACUUCUCAUAAAUUUAUAUUUUGUAUCCCAAAUGAUAACCCACUGCAUAGUUUGACAGCAAUGCUGCAAAUAUGACCUUCUAUACAGCCUAUAAACGAGUUUCAUAUCUGUCGCUUGAUCAAUUAUAAGUAAGAUUCAAAUAAUCAAACAAACAUAAAGCAUAGAUGAUAAUUAUUUUUUCUUUUUUGAACAAAUGAUACAAUCUAACUCCGCGGCUCCGCCUGUGUAAGUUUAUCUUACAUUGCCGGUCCCAAGCCCGGAUAAAGGAGGAGGGGGAGGGCGUCAGGUAGUUGACAGCCGACACUCCUAGUUUACGUCGAAUCCUUAUGAAAAUGAAUUCAGAAUAAAAUCGCGCUAAAGCUAGGGCGUCACCCGUAAGUGACACGCUAUGUGGCCCGAGCACAGUGAUAAGUGAGCAAGGGUCGCUGUAUCUCCAUCGGCACCCGGAUGCAGUGUUAAAUGAGCAAGGGGCCAUAGAAACUUCUUUUCGAACGACUCCAUUCAAAGUUGUUUGGGAGCAUAUGCUCCUAUCAACUUUACAUAGGACACACAAAAGAAGUAUUUUGAUCCUAUUAGACGGGGGAGGUUGAAGAAGCUAGGACAGAAGGGUAGAGUUCAAGAGAAUAGAAUGCGUUUAGGAACGCGGAAUAUAGGAACCCUAACGGGAAAAUCUAUGGAAGUAGUGGAAGUUAUGGUGAGGAGAAGGAUAAAUAUUAUGUGCCUACAAGAAACUAAGUGGGUUGGUUUUAAGGCAAAGGAUCUAGAAAACUCAGGGUUUAAACUUUGGUAUUCGGGCACAAAUAGAACGAGAAACGGUGUUGGCAUCAUCGUGGACAAGACCAUGACACAAGAUGUUGUAGAUGUCAAGAGGGUAGGAGAUAGAAUCAUGGCAGUCAAGAUUGUAAUAGGACAAGAACUCAUCAAUGUGAUUAGUGCGUACGCACCUCAAGUAGGGUUGGAUACAAGUUCGAAUGAGAAAUUUUGGGAAGACCUUGGAGACUUGGUGCAAGGAAUUGCUCAGACGGAGAAGUUAUUUAUACGAGGAGAUUUAAAUAGACACGUGGGCAAGGAGACAGGCAACUAUGGAGGUUUUCAUGGUGGCCAUGGUUUUGGGGAGAGAAACGAGGAUGGGGAAGCUAUCUUGGAUUUUGCAAUGGCAUAUGAUCUCUUCUUAGCCAACACCUUCUUGAAGAAGAGAGAAGAACAUGUGAUCACAAACAAGAGUGGGUCGUCAAAAACACAAAUAGAUUUUCUUCUAAUGAGGAAAAGGGAUCGUAUAACUUGUAAAGAUUGCAAAGUUAUACCGAGAGAAAGCUUGGCUAAUCAACAUCGCUUGUUGGUGAUGAAUGUACAUAUCAAAAGAGUGAGAAAAAAGAACAAGACUUGGAAGUGCCCAAGGACUAGAUGGUGGAAUCUAAAAGGAGAAAAACAAGCCAUUUUCAAAGAGAAAGUAAUCACUCAAUGUGUGUGGGAUAGAGAGGGAGAAGCUAGCCAAAGGUGGGAUUCCAUGGCUAGUUGUAUCCGAAAAGUAGCAAAAGAGGUAUUAGGAGAGUCCAAGGGCUUUGCUCCACACCAAAAGGAAUCUUGGUGGUGGAAUGAUGAGGUACAAACAAAGGUGAAGGCUAAGAAGGAAUAUUGUAAAGCCUUAUACAAGGAUAGGACCGAUGAAAAUGGUGAAAGGUAUAGAAGAGCGAAGCAAGAGGCGAAGAAAGCUGUGAGAGAAGCUAAGUUAAUGGCUUAUGACGAUAUGUAUAAGCAACUAGAUACCAAAGAAGGACAGUUGGAUAUCUAUAAACUAGCUAGAGCAAGGGAAAAGAAGACAAUGGACCUAAACCAAGUGAGGUGCAUCAAGGAUGAGGAUGGAAAAGUUUUUGCUACAAAGAACGCGGUCAAAGACAGAUGGAGAGGUUAUUUUCAUAAUCUUUUCAAUGAAGGACAUGAAAGGAGUACUUCUUUAGAAGAGUUGAGUAACUCAGAAGAGUGUAGAAACUACUCAUUUUAUCGUCGAAUCAGGAAGGAAGAAGUGGUUGUAGCUUUGAAGAAGAUGAAGCAUAGAAAAGCAGUAGGCCCAGAUGAUAUACCAAUCGAAGUGUGGAAAGUCUUGGGAGAGACAGGUAUAUCAUGGCUCACUGACAUUUUCAAUAGGAUUUUGAAAACGAAGAAGAUGCCAAAUGAGUGGCGAAAGAGCACUUUGUUGCCUAUCUACAAGAAUAAGGGCGACGUACAAAAUUGCAUGAACUAUAGGGGUAUUAAGCUAAUAAGUCAUACAAUGAAGCUUUGGGAGAGAGUCAUUGAGCAUAGAUUGAGGCAAGAGACACGGGUUUCGAACAACCAAUUCGGGUUCAUGCCAGGACACUCAACCAUGGAGGCAAUUUAUCUCUUACGAAGAUUGAUGGAAAGAUAUAGAGAGGGGAAAAAGGAUUUACACAUGGUCUUUAUAGAUUUGGAAAAAGCGUAUGAUAGGGUCCCAAGAGACAUUAUCUGGAAGAUUUUGGAGAAGAAAGGAGUACGAGUAGCAUAUAUCCAAGCUAUAAAAGAUAUGUAUGAAGGAGCAAAGACUGCCGUAAGAACUCAUGAAGGACAAACUGAAAGUUUCCCCAUAACUAUAGGAGUACAUCAAGGCUCAUCCUUAAAUCCUUACCUUUUUGCGUUGGUAAUGGAUGAGUUAACAUGACAUAUUCAAGAUGAUAUUCCUUGGUGUAUGCUUUUCGUAAACGAUAUAGUGUUAAUAGAUGAAACUCAGAAAGGGGUAAAUGUGAAGCUUAACCUUUGGAGAGAAGUGUUGGAAUCUAAAGGUCUUCGCCUAAACCGAUCAAAGACAGAAUAUAUGGAGUGCAAGUUCAGUGCAAAUGGAAGCCAAAAUGAGUUAGGGGUGAGGAUUGGAGAUCAGGAAAUACCAAAGAGCGACUGCUUUCACUACCUAAGAUCUAUCUUGCUAAAGAAUGGAGAAUUAGAUGGAGAUCUCAACCAUAGAAUACAAGCUGGAUGGAUGAAGUGGAAGAGUGCAUCCGGCGUGUUGUGUGACCGCCGUAUGCCACUGAAGCUCAAGGGAAAAUUUUAUAGGACGGCAAUAAGGUCAGCGAUGCUGUAUGGCACAGAAUGUUGAGCGGUGAAGCAUCAACACGUACACAAAAUGGGUGUAGCGGAGAUGAGGAUGCUUCGUUGGAUGUGUGGGCACACGAGAAAGGAUAAGAUUAGGAAUGAGGAUAUCCGAGGUAAAGUAGGAGUAGCCGAAAUUGUAGGAAAGCUGAGAGAAAAUCGGUUACGGUGGUUUGGACAUGUGCAAAGAAGGCCUACUGACGUUCCGGUUAGAAGAUGCGACUACGGGAUAGAGGUUCAGGGCCGAAGGGGUAGAGGAAGACCUAUGAAAAUUUUGGAAGAGACUCUAAGAAAAGACUUAGAGUACUUGGAUCUAACGGAGGACAUGACACAAGACCGAGCACAAUGGUGUUCUAAGAUUCAUAUAGCCGACCCUACUCAGUGACUUGGAUUUUUCAAGUCUCCAAUUGAGAAGUUUUCCUCACUCGAGAAAUUAAGGGAACACUACCUCAACCUACAUGCUUCACUCACAAAGCUUCAACAUACAAGCUUCAACAAAAGAAAAAUUCAAAGAACUUAGUGAAGAAGGCUUUGGUGUAUUUAACACAAUACGUUGAAAUAAAGCAAAGCUUAUUUAUUGAUAUCUCCGAUAAGUUACAAAUAUGUACAUAUACAUGAGUCAAAAUAAACAAAUAAGAGAGGGCCUUCACAAAGGUUGCUUAGAAGAAGUCUCAGCAGUCGGUAGAGCCCCAGAAAGAGAAGGCACCGGAGGAUGAUCACUUAGAGCCUCAGUACUGGACAAAACCCUAAAAGGAAGAGGCAUCGGAGGCUGAUCAUUUAGAGCUUCAUUACGCAGUACAGCCCCAGAAGACGAAGGCAAUAAAUGUCUUUGGAACAAACCCACAAACCUCUGAUGAUCAAGUAAAAUCUGAUCAUCAGAUUCCUUCACCUGGCCAAGCUUCCUCUUCAUGUUUGUAGCAUAGUCAUGUGCGAGCCUGUGCAACUGUUUAUUCUCAUGCUUGAGCCCUCUAAUCUCCUGCUUAAGGGCUCGUUUGGAUGUGCUACUCUAUAAAGCGCUUUUACUCACUAGCGCUUUUUGUUUGUAGCACUUUUCAAUAGUGCUUCUAUGAGGAAGUAGUUUGUUGUUUGGCAUGCAACCAACUAAGCGAUUUUGUAUUGGAUAGAAGCGUUUUUUAUAUUAAAUAGAGUGUUUGGUUGUCAAAUGAAAAAGCGCUUUCAUUAAUAAUUCUCAAUAAUUUUUGCAUAAGUAUUUUUUGUAUAUAAUUAGCAUACAAUUUGAUUAAGAGUUGAUGAAAAUUCAAUUACAAAAAAUAAUGAUCACUAACAAAAUUAUACAUACUUAUUGAGAAUAUGUGUUUGUUUCUUGAAAACAAAAUGAUACGUUAUAGUUGCAUGACAAUCAAAUGUGACAUAAGCAUUAACUAGAUAUAAGAAGAUUAGCAAUCCUUUCUCGUUCAACAUCCAUCUCUCGCCUAUGAGUAAAAUUUUCAUCAACAAUUUCUUCAUCUCUAUGAUCUUCCUCAUGUCCAGGUGGAAGUAGCUCAUCAUCAUCAUCAUAAGGUUGGAACUCUUAAUCUGUCAUGGAAUGCUUCCUAAUAAAAUUGUGUAAGGCCAUUGAAGCAACAACAAUUUGUACCUGUUUUUCAAAAUGGAAGUUACGCAUAAGACGAAUCAUUGUCCAUCUAUUUUUCCAAACACCAAAAGUUCUUUCUAUUGUGCAUCUUAGGGAUGAAUGUCUCUGAUUAAAUAUCUCUUUUUUCCCUCUUGGCUGACUUCCACGUCGAAAUUCAAGAAGAUGAUAUCGUUCACCCUUAUAAGGUCCAAUAUAUCCAUUCAUAUGUGGAUAUCCAGCAUCAACUAAAUAAUAUUUGCCUACACCAUAAUUGAAAAGAAAAAUAUAAAGAUUUUUGCGUUCUUAAGAUAAAAAAUAAAUAAACACAUUCAUAUAAGACUAAGGUUGAUUACUAACCAGAAGGGGGAUAAGGAAAUUUCAAUUCUAGUCUUCUCAAGGCCUCCAUGAAUAUACGUGAAUCAUGAGCAGCACCCUCCCAUCCAGCCCAGACAAAUGUGAAACACAUAUUAAAAUCACGUACAACCAUAACAUUUUGAGUUGUAUUUCCUUUUCUACCUAUAUAUGGCACUUGCAUUUCUCUAGGUACCACAACUGGGACAUGUGUUCUGUCAAUUGCCCCUAUGCAACCGUUAAAAUAUGGCCAAUACUGAUUGUCAUCCUUAAUUUUAUUUGAUACUCUCUUGAAUUGCCGAUCAUGUGGACAUAUAAUAUCAGUAGCCAUGCGAGAAACAACAUCUAAUAGUAUCCCAAACCACCUAGAAACAGUUUCUCCAGAGUGUUGAAACGUUUCUUGGACCAUCCUAUUAGUGUGCCCAUGACCUAAUGUGUUUAGAAACAUUGCUAAUGCUUCUUCUAGGGUUAUAUCUCCAAAUCUUUUUAAGCCAUAAUCACGCUUCCAAGUCUCUAACAAGUCCUUAAAAACAUGUUGUUCCAUCCUAAAUUGUUCAUGGCAUCUUAUAGGAUGACCAUUUAAAACUUCCAUUACCCAUCUAUAUCCCGUAUACGAAGAAGUCCUACAAGGUUCUUUGUCAACAUACUUUAACCAUUCAGAGACAGCCGUGACACAGCUUGCAGAAACCAGUUGAUAAUUCAUCAUCACUUCCAUCAGUAGAGUUGUUUGUAUUGCUACUAUCACUGCUGCUAGAACUCAUAGCUGUAAACACAAAAGAAAAUUUUAAUAUGAGAGGAAUAUAUAAUCAUGGAAAAAAUAAAGAUCACAUUCUGAAUAAAGUUCUAAAAAAAUCAUAUAAUUAAAGAUAUUAGAGGCACACAUGUUUAACCAAUCCAUUACAUAAUAAAUACUUAUUCAACCACCAAAAAAAAAAACAUGUUGAAAAAUAUAAUCCUAAGAUAAAUGUGAUGAAUCAAAUUUUCUUGCUCUUGAGCCACAUGAUUUGUCGGUUAGAUUGCUUCAAUGCAACAAACAUCUCUCUAUUUUUUCUUUCAGUGAAGAUAUCAGCCGCUUUCAUAAAGAGCUCAUCAUCAUUCACAACUUCAUGCAUUCCUUCCAACAUUUGCAUCACUUCCUCAAUGCUACAACCAGGCUUAUCUGUGCUCUUAGAACGGUUGUUUACAGCUUCUAAAAUACCAUCUAAUUGUUUUAUCAUCUUGGCCCCAAUUCCAACUCUUUUAGAAUCUCUUGUUCUUUUUGUUCAUUUUCCUUGUGUUGAAGGUUGAGCAGGGGAAGGUGUCUCAGCAUCGGCUAUGUCGUCAAGCCCCUCAUUAUUAUCUAUGUCAUUCUCCAAAUCAUCUUGACCGUCAUUUUGUUCGCAUGUUGGAGCUUUUUGGACAUUAUUACUCAUCAACCCUUGUGAGGGUGGUCAUGCACCUACACCUGUAACAGCUCCUUCUUUAAACAAAAUGUCCAGUUGGUCAACAUUUUUCAAUCCACUAUUUCGAUAUUUUGCAACUUCAGAAUUCUCCUGAAAUAUGACCAACUGCAAUUAACAAAUUAUGAUAAAAGAACGUAAAUAUGAAGUUAGAUUUCCAUGGAUAUGAGAUAAUAAUUUCUCACCUUCACUUUUUUCUCCCACCACUCAUCACUUGCAAUGAUAGUUUGCUUCACAAGAUCCCAUCCUAAGCCAGUCUCUUUUCCAACUAAUGAUGCCCACAAUUGCCAUUCUUUCUUAAGUGCAGUCCAUUUGUUCUUGAGUUGUUUAUGAACAUAUGACCUUUGAGUAAGGUCAUUAAAUUUUUUAAUAACAUUUUUCCAUCCAAUUCUAAUAAGAUGACCACCUGUUUGAUUUCUAGCUAAUGUCUCAGCUACACAAACACUUAUAAAUAUCUCAACACUUGCAUCAUCCCACAUUGCCUUGCUCUUUUUUUCGUUACCUUCUCCACGAUCUUGCAUAUCUUUAACUAUAUUCUUAGACAUAUCUAUAAAGAGAAGUUGAAAAAAAACCAUAGCACAUAAGAAGAGCAUAUACCACUACUUACGUCCUAGCUAACAACACAAAAGUAAAUUAAAAGCAAUAAUGCAAGAUUUGUAACUAGUAUUUGUUAUAUAUAAUAAUGCAGUACACCGUUGCUUCCAAAACUGCAGUGCGUAUGUAUUUGUUAUAUAUAAUAAUGCAGUACACCGUGGUUAUAUAUAAUAAUGCAGUACACCAUUGCAUAUGUAUCUAUUUGUUAUAUAUAAUAAUGCAGUACACCGUUGUUAUAUAUAAUAAUGCAGUACACCAUUGCAUAUGUAUCUAGUAUUUGUAUAUAUAAUGCAGGAUAUGUAACCAUUAACAAUAAAUUCAUUAGUGUUGCUUUCUGUUGUCAUUGGAAGUUAAUUUGCUAUUAGUAGUAUCUACAAUCGUUAAUACGACAUCAAAUCUCGGCAUCAAAUCUGCAAGUUAUUGUUCAUCGUCGGUCUUUCAGCGUUCGAAUGCUUGGUUUCAUUCAUGAUAUGAUGGUGUCCAUGUAAUACGUACAACAUGAACGUUCUGUGUCACACGCAUCUACUUACAUGGGAUGGGAUGUGCAAAGUCAUGAAUCGUCAACCUCAAGGGCAUCAGAGAAUGAAUCAGGAAAAUUAGAAAUAUCGUGAAAAAAAUGCAGAAAAUACCAUUGGAAUGUCAAUGAACGAUCACUAAACCCUAAAAUUAUUUUCGUGUAGUUCAAAAAUCACAACAAUUUUGAUAAAAAUAACAUAUCAACAAUCAAAUUCACACACUACAUACAAAUUUUAAGAUAAGAAAUAGCAAACAUACCUCCACAAGAAUUUUAGGUGAUGGAGAUGCAAAGAGAUUUGGGGAAGAUGGAGAGGAAGAGAUGGAGACCAAGAUGACUUCUCCAGCCACCAAAAUAUUAUGAAAAUAAAAGACUUCUAGGUUUUUAACGUGCAAACCUAGAAAAAAUUGGUGAUGUCAAUUUUGAUGUUUUUUUCAAGUGUAAUGGCAUUUUAGACUUUGCAAAUUAAAAAAUAGGGAUAAUUCGGGAAUUGAAAAAAAUUCAUUAAAGGGAGCAAAGUGCUUCCCUUGUUUUCUCUGCAUAGCACUUUUAGGAGGAAGCACCUCCUAGGUGCUUUUUAGAAAAUGCUUAUUAGUGCUUCUACUUCUAACUAAAAGCACUUUUAAAAUAUUUUCCAAACGACCAUUUUUUAAAACUAAAGCGCUUUUACUCAUUAGGAAGAGCUUUUGACUCUUUCAAAAACACAACCAAACGAGCCAUAAGACUCAUCACUUCAGCCGCCAAUGAUUCAACUUGGUGGGUUCGAGCAAAUAGGCGUUGGGCCAUAUUCGACAUAGAACCUUCACAUUGAACAUUGAGAGCCAGAAAAUCCUUAACAGCCAACUCAUCAGACUGUUUGGAAAGAAGUCUGUUAUCUUUGGGAGUGAGAAUGUUCCUAGCCACCACCGCAGCGGUUAUAUCAUUCUUCAUCACGGAAUCCCUAACGGUAAGAGAAUCAGUAGGGGAUAAGAAGGAUGGGCGCCAUAUGUUGUCUGGAGAAGGCGCGGCUGCCUCUUUACCAAGGUUCAAGUCAAAACGAAGGUCGGAAGGGCCAGACAUUUUCAAAGGUGUUGAAGAGAGAAGAGGUCGAACAAAUCAAGAUCUUAGAAGUGCAAGAAAUGAGCUUCUACUGGUGGAGAUUCAAGUGUGCUUUGGAACUUAAUGUCAGCCUCUAUAAAAAUCUGCACUCGACGGAGCUUCAAAAAUCGAAGAAGUGCCUGCUCAAAAAUCGAAUAGGCGUUUGCUUUCUCAAAAGCUGGGCUGCUCAGAGACCACGAUGAACUAUCUUAAAGAUCGAAGAGGCGUUUACUUUCUCAAAAGCUGGGCUGCUCAAAGACCACAAUGGCUGAUCUCAAAAAUCGAAGAAGCGCUUGCUUUCUCAAAAGCUGGGCUGCUCAUAGACCACGAGGGCCGAUCUCAGAAAUCGAAGAGGCACCUAUUUUCUCAGCCUUGUCAGCACUUGUCACAUGCACACUCAGCUUUGCGGAAAUUACGGGCAAUCUGUCGAAGAUUUCUGGUGAAGUAGAAAGCACGUGAAUCUUACUUUUCAAUCAUCCACUUUCCACACGCAACAUCAGCUCAUGGGUACCACAAAUAACUUUGCCAAAGAUCUCUGACAAAGUUUAGACACGUGAAGCUUGCAGCUCCCACUACAUCGCUAUGACCAAGAAAGGUAAAAGAAUAGCAAAGAAACAGCACUAACAAAGUUUAGACACAUAAAUUUUGAAGGUUUAGAUACCAUAUUAUUACCCAUAAGGGUAAAGGAACAGUACCACUGCUGGAUAAUUGGAAAGUCCCUAUGUCUCAACCUCUGUGCUCCGUGGCAAGGUAGACUAGCAAAAAUGCCCAACCUUUACUCACAUUCCAGAAAACACUCCCAACAAGAUUGCUUGCUCCAAAUUCGAAGAGGCACCGCCCUCCGAAUCUCGAGAGCCGAGCCAGACUCCCAGCAGGAUUGCUUUCUCAAAAAUCGAAGAGGCACCGUUCUUCGAAUCUCGAGAGCCAGAUCCCCGAAAGGAUCGCUUGUUUGAAAACCGAAGAGGCAUCGCUUUCUCAACUUCGAAAGCCAGAUCUCCUUGGAUAAAGCUUGUCUGUAAUCUUCACACGCAACAUCAGCUUUCCAGAUACCAUAGACCACUUUUUCAAAGUGCUCUAACAGAGUUAAAACACGUGAAGUGGGCAACUCCCACUACAGUACUAUGACCAAGAAGGGUAAAGGAAUAGCAUUACUACUUGUUGUUACGGAGACUCCUAUAUAUGUCGACCUCCAUCCUCAACGGACAGGCAGACCUGUAAAAAUGCUCAACCCUUCCUCAUAUCUGAGAGGGCACUCCCAACGAAGCCUCUCGAAAUACUCAGUUUUCUUUCCCCCCGAUAAUACCUCUGCAAACAAGCUACACCAGAGCAAGAAUAUCUCAUAUCAUCAGGGUUAAAAGCAAGAGUAUCUCAUAUCAUGCUUUUUCCCUGUCUUUUCCUUUGGCCUUGUUCUUACCUACAAGACAAUGAGAAAAAGAGCAAUCAGUCAGCACUUGGAAUCAAGCUUCCAAUCAGGAACUGACUGCCUGGAACCCCUUACCUGAUUACUUACCUGGCAUUACUCUCGAGUACUCAUCUUCAACAUCUUAUGCUUCCAGAGAAGAUACCACAUAUGCCGGAGGAACAAAUAGGGCCAAUGAGAAUGAUAAAAGGAAGCAUGUGGAGACAAGCGUAACAGAACACGUGCCAAUACUUCCACUACUUUGUCAACAACAAAAGUAUCCCAUAUCAGCAGGGUCGAACGUACUCUAGAUUUGAUGGACUUGUUUUGACCCUCAAAUUCUUCAGUCAGCCUUAUACUCUGGAGGUAACCAAAAAACCCUCCAGCCCAGUUCAAGAAAAAGCCUGUGGAAAGCUAUUUCUUCAAAAGCAAAAGUAUCUCAUAUCAUAUCUUUUCCUUUUCUUCUCUUUAUCCUUCAUGUUACCAGCAAGAUAAGGAGAAUGAGAACAAUCAGCCGGAACUCGAAAUCAAACUUCUAAUCUGGGACUGAUUGCUUGGAGCUCUGAUUGCUUACCUUGUCUGUCACCUCUUUCAGCAGAUCCCCUAGCUCUGCGACUUGGGGGACUCCUACUACAUGGUUUGUAUCGCGCUUGACCACGCCUGAAAUUACAAGUAAGCUUCAAGUGAAAUUGAUACAUUACCUUAUGCAUCUCCACCAGUUAAAGAUACCACCCCUGGACGGAGGAAGAGUACUUCCAGAGAAGAUGACACAUCUACCUAUGAGACAAAUAAGGCAAGUGAAGACGAUACCACACUUCGGUACUUAGAAGUUUCGUGAUUACUCAGCGGCUUGGAUCUUGCAAGUCCCCAACCAAGGAGCUUCCUCUCCAACCAAGAGGCCAAUCACAGAUGACACGUGUCGACAUCAGAAGCCAAUCAUAGCGCGACACAUGUCAACAUCGGAAGCCAAUCACAACAUAACACGUGUCAAUGUCAAAACAAGGCUAGAAACUCUCUUCUAUAAAAGGAGAUCAUUCUCCCAAAAUAUUUCCUAAUGCCAUUUGUACUAAAUCAUUCACUUGUACCCACUAAAAGAGAGCUUGAACCUAUAUACUUGUGUAAACCCUUCACAAUUAAUGAGAAAUCCUCUACUUCGUGAACGUAGCCAAUCUGGGUGAACCACGUACAUCUUGUGUUUGCUCUCCUGUCUUUAUCCUUUUACAUACUUAUCCACACUAAUGACCAGAGCAAUCCAGCGAAGGUCACAAACUUAAUACUUUCUGUUGUACCAAAGUCCUCACUGAUUUUGUGCAUCAACAAUCCUUAAGUCCUUACCUUUUUGCAUUGGUAAUGGAUGAGUUAACAGGACAUAUUCAAGAUGUUAUUCCUCGGUGUAUGCUUUACGCAGACGAUAUAGGGUUGAUAGAUGAAACUCAGGAAGGGGUAAAUGCGAAGCUUAACCUUUGGAGAGAAGUGUUGGAAUUUAAAGGUUUUCGCCUAAGCCGAUCAAAGACAGAAUAUAUGGAAUACAAGCGGGAUGAAUGAAGUGGAAGAGUGCAUCCGGCGUGUUGUGUAACCGUUGUAUGCCACUGAAGCUCAAGGGAAAAUUUUAUAGGACGGCAAUAAGGUCGGCGAUGCUGUAUGGCACAGAAUGUUGGGCGGUGAAUCAUCAACACGUACACAAAAUGGGUGUAGCGGAGAUGAGGAUGCUUCAUUGGAGGUGUGGGCUCACGAGAAAGGAUAAGAUUAGGAAUGAGUGGGUUGGACAUGUGCAAAGAAGGCCUGCUGACGCUCCAGUUCGAAGAUGUGACUAUGGGACAGAGGUUCAGGGCCGAAGGGGUAGAGGAAGACCUAGGAAAACUUUGGAAGAGACCCUAAGAAAAGACAUAGAGUACUUGGAUCUAACGAAUGACAUGACACAAAACCGAGCGCAAUGGCGUUCUAGGAUUCACAUAGCCGACCCCACUUAGUGGGAAAAGACUUUGUUGUUGUUUGAACAAAUGAUACAAUCUAUACUAAGCCGGGUGGAUUUCAUCUCACUAUAGGCUAGCAAUAAUAUGGUUCAAAUUCGUCUUUGGCGAAAAUCAAAAUUAAGACCUCUCAUUUACAAGUGAAGAGAAAUAUCACUAGACUGUAAUAUGAAGUGGCAACAUAAAUGAUAAGUUCACAAAAUUUUAAGAGUGGAAUGACAAAAUUAACACCUCAUAACCUAUUCGAAAACUACUCUAAAUGCAAGGGGAGGAAAAUAUAAACUUUUGUAAUAGAGUUAGGAGCAUGGACAAUGCAAAUGAGAUCGUACAAGAUUCCGUUUUUGGUUUAUGGAGAUUGUGGAAGAACAAAAAUGAAGCCGUGUUUCAUGGAGUGCACUGACAUCCGAUGGAGAUUUUGGAGGUCUGGAAGAAGAACAUUGGGGAAUUUUGAGGAGCGAAGCUACAGGUGGCUGCCCCUUCGUGCAGGUUUGGCGCGGCGGUGAGGGAGGUAGCGAAAGGACAAAAGGUGGCGUGGCAGAAACCGGAGUUCGCGACUGUUAAGGUUUAUACCGAUGCGGCAUGGUGCAAAGUGUCAUUGCGAGGGAGUGGGCGGGAGGCUCAGGUGAUGUGCAUUUUUCAAGUGCAGCAACGGCUGAAGCUGCGGCCAUUCGGGAAGCAAUGGAAUUUUGCAUUGAGAGAUGGGAUAUGAUGAAGUCAUUUUUGAGUCUGAUGCAAAGAAUGUUGUACAGAUGAUCAACAAGGAGUGUGACCCUGACUUUGCUUUGGAGUGCAUUAUCCCGAUCGACCAACACUCCUCUUGAAGGUCUUUGGUGGUUCUGUAGGCUUUGUCUUCGGAACCAUCUUGGUGCGGCCAUUGAGGUUGGGACAACUUCACGCAUGGCCAAAUGGCUCGUUUAAAGUUGUUUAUGUCGUUUAAAGUUGUUUAUGUACUCGGCACGUAAACGUUUUCGCUAAAAAAUGCUUUGUUGAUAUUAAAAUGCUUCCUGAAAAAAGCACUUCAAGGUGCUCCUGAAGAAGCAUCUACUCUCCAUAAAGUGCUUCCAACAUUUUGAAAAAAACUUGUCAUUUUCGAUUUUCUUUGGGAACCCAAAAGAGCAGGAAAAAAAAAACAGUAUGCAGGAAUGAAGUACCCCAUGAUUUCAAGCAUAUGGGAAACCCAGAAAUAAUAAUUAACCAGUAGACUUGGGAAACAACCUGCCUCUGUACUGCAUCUUCAAGCAGGGAUACCUUGUACACUACUUCAAACACCUAUAUACUACCAACGCUCCUCACAACCAGCCUUAUUUUGCCGAAUCACAAGUCAAUCACAAGUCGUGUCAAACAGAUUUUUUCGUUUCAAAAGCGAAUGGGAUUCAUAACCAGCGACACUGGAUAGGAGACGGCUGCUGAAACAAAGGUUGCUGAAUGGGAGGUUGCUGAAGCGGAGGCUGUUGCUGGCUAACUUCCUGGCUAGAAUUCUGACCAAUUUUCAGUGUCUUGAAUAUUUUUCUCCAUUUUCUAUAUAGCUCUUCUUCAUCCGUGGCAUAACAAUGAUUAAAGGUCCAAUGUACACAUGGCGCCGGCGAGUCACAGACAUAACAAUGACACUGCAUUUUAGAAGGAAAAAGAAAAAAAAAAAAAAGACAUCGCAGUGGUAUAUUGUCAAACUCAGGCAAUAAAACAGUAUUUGAUGGAAAUUCUAUAAGCAACAGCUUGUAAGAGUCAACUCACAAGUUUACAGUGGUUCUCGGGCCGGGUAGUUUUGAAAGGGAAUUUGGCACAAAGAUGUCGUGGAUGAGGGUAGUCUCUACAUGCUACCUGCAACCAAAGAAAUAAUGUAAGAUCAAUUAAGAUGGAAAAGCAAACGGUGCGUCCAUUAUCCAACUAAUACGAAAAUUAAGGGGUUAGACAAUGUAUGGUGCUACGGUCCUGUAUUAUGAGAAACAAGUUUAACAUAAAUAAGUGGCCAAGCAAGCAAACAAGACCAAAAAUUCAAAGGGAACUUCUUCAAACCCAUUGAACUUCAAUAUCAAGGUCACCAAAAAGCAAGAAACAGGUUUUCACUUUUACCAUAAACCAAGAAUAUCAAGAUAACUACGUCUGAAAAACAAUAUCAUCCAGAAAGACCAAAGUUCAUGCUCGCAUACAACGGGGCAAAAUUUGAAAUAUGUGUAAAUCAUUCCGAUGCAUCCACAAUCAACUCUCCCUUACGAGAAAGUUAGUCGCGAAAAGUAGAAAAACAAGUCUUGGAUUGUUCCUCUUUCAUAUGACAACAAUAUCAUUAGCCUAACCCAAAACUUAAUGCCUCAACUAAUCAGCUUGCUACGUUUUCAUGACAACCAAACAGAGUUAAGCACAAGUCGAAAAAUUAUUAAGAUACGAUAACCGCAACCCUUCAGUUGAAAUUAAAUUUCUUUAAAUUCUCUAAUCAAACCAACAAUAAAAAAAACUUCCAAAGCAUUUAGUUAUCUUUCUCUAACUUCCAAUUCAGGUAAACUAAACCAACCAAACAAUGCAAAUCGUACAUAAACCAAAACCAGGUCGAAUUUAUACCUGCCCCGUUUCCCCAACCACAAUCAACUCGUCGGAGCCGCUACCCGAAUCCUCCACCACCGAAACGGGCUUAUCCGGGUCGCCGUCCAAGACCACACAAUCAUCGUCAUCAUCCGCCACCGUCCGUUUCGAAGACUUUUGGCUAGGCUUUGAGUUGACCUCACUAAUCAACACAACGUCAUCGGAAUCAUCGUCGUCGGUUACCUUGUCGACGGAUUCCAGAAGCUCCGAUACACAAUCAAAGUUGUCCUCCUCAUCCAGGUCGAUCCGACCCAGUUGGUCGUCGGAGAUACGCGAUUGGGCUCCUUCAGCACAGAUUGGGCUCCGAGGUAGCUGGAUCGGAUCAGUUGCAGGAGAAGCAUGAUGAUCGCCGGCAAGAGGGGCAGAGAUGCCUUCCCCGGCACCUCGAGAGAGCAUUUCCCGACGAAACUUUUCAAGAGAGGCAUCGAAGGCUUUGGUGAAGGCCUUUUCGAAGGCCUUGGUGAAGGCCUUUUCGAAGGCAUUGUCGAUCGCAGUGGCGAUGAGGGAAGGUAAAGAGGCGAUGAUAGCCUCCAAGGAAGCAACGCGAGUUUCCAUGGCAGAGUCGCAAGUGGCAGCGGAUUGGCGAGCGCGCAAGGAAGGGAAUCCAGAAUUCAAUACGGGUGAUACCAUUGAUAAAACCCUAAUCUCAACCCUAGCUCAACCUUAAGUAUUACACACACAUACAAGAGAGAGAAGGAAGGAAGACCAAGGAAAUCUAAUAACUUCUGUUUAUGAGAAUCUUUCCGUAAAGUCACAUUCCUUCUUAAAUCUGUAGACCAUUCAAAAGGAAUCUAAUCAUUUAAACUUCUGUCACAUAUUUAAUCAGUCUUUUUUUAUUUUUUUAUUUCUUUUAUUCAAACCCAAUUGAAUCACCAAUGAAAAUUCGUGGAAAAGAGGAAAGGUUGUUGAGCAAAAACAAUAAAAAAAAGUAAAGCUUAUUAAAUUUGUGGCACAA